GACGAACGCUGGCGGCGUGCUUAACACAUGCAAGUCGAACGGAAAGGCCCUGCUUUUGUGGGGUGCUCGAGUGGCGAACGGGUGAGUAACACGUGAGUAACCUGCCCUUGACUUUGGGAUAACUUCAGGACACUGGGGCUAAUACCGGAUAGGAGCCCCUGCUGCAUGGUGGGGGUUGGAAAGUUUCGGCGGUUGGGGAUGGACUCGCGGCUUAUUAGCUUGUUGGUGGGGUAGUGGCUUACCAAGGCUUUGACGGGUAGCCGGCCUGAGAGGGUGACCGGCCACAUUGGGACUGAGAUACGGCCCAGACUCCUACGGGAGGCAGCAGUGGGGAAUAUUGCACAAUGGGCGGAAGCCUGAUGCAGCAACGCCGCGUGCGGGAUGACGGCCUUCGGGUUGUAAACCGCUUUCGCCUGUGACGAAGCGUGAGUGACGGUAAUGGGUAAAGAAGCACCGGCUAACUACGUG
rnacentral:rRNA from 1 species